rnacentral:rRNA from 1 species
UACGAAGGGGGCUAGCGUUGUUCGGAAUUACUGGGCGUAAAGCGCACGUAGGCGGACACUUAAGUCAGGGGUGAAAUCCCGGGGCUCAACCCCGGAACUGCCUUUGAUACUGGAGAUCUUGAGUCCGGAAGAGGUAAGUGGAACUGCGAGUGUAGAGGUGAAAUUCGUAGAUAUUCGCAAGAACACCAGUGGCGAAGGCGGCUUACUGGUCCGGAACUGACGCUGAGGUGCGAAAGCGUGGGGAGCAAACAGG